ACGUAGGGUGCGAGCGUUAAUCGGAAUUACUGGGCGUAAAGCGUGCGCAGGCGGUUUGAUAAGACAGGCGUGAAAUCCCCGAGCUUAACUUGGGAAUGGCGCUUGUGACUGUCAGGCUAGAGUAUGUCAGAGGGGGGUAGAAUUCCACGUGUAGCAGUGAAAUGCGUAGAGAUGCGGAGGAACACCGAUGGCAAAGGCAGCCCCCUGGGCUGACACUGACGCUGAGGCACGAAAGCGUGGGGAGCAAACAGGA
rnacentral:rRNA from 1 species